CAAGCCUUCGAUGGAUAGGGGUUCUGAGAGGAAGGUCCCCCCACAUUGGAACUGAGACACGGUCCAAACUCCUACGGGAGGCAGCAGUGAGGAAUAUUGGUCAAUGGACGAGAGUCUGAACCAGCCAAGUAGCGUGGAGGAUGACUGCCCUAUGGGUUGUAAACUUCUUUUAUACGGGAAUAAAGUGAGGCACGUGUGCCUUUUUGUAUGUACCGUAUGAAUAAGGAUCGGCUAACUCCGUGCCAGCAGCCGCGGUAAUACGGAGGAUCCGAGCGUUAUCCGGAUUUAUUGGGUUUAAAGGGAGCGUAGGCGGACGCUUAAGUCAGUUGUGAAAGUUUGCGGCUCAACCGUAAAAUUGCAGUUGAUACUGGGUGUCUUGAGUACAGUAGAGGCAGGCGGAAUUCGUGGUGUAGCGGUGAAAUGCUUAGAUAUCACGAAGAACUCCGAUUGCGAAGGCAGCCUGCUGGACUGUAACUGACGCUGAUGCUCGAAAGUGUGGGUAUCAAACAGGAUUAGAUACCCUGGUAGUCCACACAGUAAACGAUGAAUACUCGCUGUUUGCGAUAUACAGUAAGCGGCCAAGCGAAAGCGUUAAGUAUUCCCACCUGGGG
rnacentral:rRNA from 1 species